CCUACGGGAGGCAGCAGUGGGGGAUAUUGCACAAUGGGGGAAACCCUGAUGCAGCGACGCCGCGUGGGUGAAGAAGUAUUUCGGUAUGUAAAGCCCUAUCAGCAGGGAAGAAAGAAGACGGUACCUGACUAAGAAGCCCCGGCUAACUACGUGCCAGCAGCCGCGGUAAUACGUAGGGGGCGAGCGUUAUCCGGAUUCACUGGGUGUAAAGGGAGCGUAGACGGCCGUGCAAGCCAGGAGUGAAAGCCCGGGGCCCAACCCCGGGACUGCUCGUGGAACUGUGCGGCUGGAGUGCGGGAGGGGCAGGCGGAAUUCCUGGUGUAGCGGUGAAAUGCGUAGAUAUCAGGAGGAACACCGGCGGCGAAGGCGGCCUGCUGGACCGCGACUGACGUUGAGGCUCGAAAGCGUGGGGAGCGAACAGGAUUAGAUACCCUUGUAGUC
rnacentral:rRNA from 1 species